rnacentral:rRNA from 1 species
AUACGUAGGUGGCGAGCGUUGUCCGGAUUUACUGGGUGUAAAGGGCGAGUAGGCGGGCUUGCAAGUCAGAUGUGAAAUACCGAGGCUCAACUUCGGGGCUGCAUUUGAAACUGCGAGUCUUGAGUGAUGGAGAGGCAGGCGGAAUUUCCAGCGUGGCGGUAAAAGGCAUAGAUAUUGGGAAGAACACCAGUGGCGAAGGCGGCCUGCUGGACAUUAACUGACGCUGAGGAGCGAAAGUGUGGGGAGCAAACAGGAUUAGAUACCCUGGUAGUCCACACCGUAAACGAUGGAUACUAGGUGUGCGGGGACUGACCCCCUGCGUGCCGCAGUUAACACAAUAAGUAUCCCACCUGGGGAGUACGAUCGCAAGAUUGAAACUCAAAUGAAUUGACGGGG